AAAGAAUGCAAGCGUGGAUUGAGUUUGCUAUUUGUUUUAAGGAUGUUAUUUUAAAUUCAUUACUUUUUUUCUAAAAAGUUCUCUUUCAAUGUUGGGACUAAUGUUUUAAUUGAUUUGCAGCAAGCAAUUCCAGGUUUCUGAAUUUCAAAGAAUAUACCUCUUGGAGGGCGCAAAGUAAUAGGGAAGUUGAAUAUGCUUGCCAGACCCGAAAUAAAUUUAAGAAUGGAGAAGAACAUAUAUUGUAACAGGAGCAACAUUAGAGGAUUCAAUAGCUCAUGUAAAAUGAGAAGUGUUAAGCCUGGAGGAAGCAUACUCAUUCAAGGAACAUGUUCCUCAAGGAUUUUAGUUAAGAUUUUAAAGAAUGGAACAAUUAAUGUGACAUUUUUUGAAACACAUGUAGGACAUGUAGACAAGUGAAGAAUCAAAAGGUUAUCUAAGGCUGAAGAAAAUAUCAUUGUUGGGAAAUUGACUGCAGGUGUGACAAAUGAACAAAUAAGAUGCUAAAAAAAUUCAGAAUAACACAAUAGAAAGGCUAAACUUGCUAACAAGAGGUUCCCUAACUAAAGAGGGAGAGGAUACUGUUUUGUUUGUUGAUGAACCUACAAUUAGCCAAACAAAUUAUCAGGAUGAUGUAAGCCAUUUUAUUCAGAAAAGUUCAAAAAUGAAAGUCAAUAGUUCAAUAUUGAAAUUUGAAGAAAAGAGAGAAGUAGUUUGCGUAAAAUAUAAUUUGAAUCUUUAUUACAUACUUUAUGGUUAUUUUAAGAUUGCAUUGCAAGCAAUGUGUAACCAGCUGUGUAGCUAUGGUAGCACUUUACAUCAAAAUGCUUUUGCCACAUUUAUGACUCAAUUCAACAAUUUCAAAAAAUAAAGUGAUGGAACAAGAAAACUCUCAUAGCUUUGAAAAGAAAAGAAAAACUGAAAAACAAAUGUACUAUCCGAAUAAAAAAUAGGAUUAGAUUUGUUUGAGCAUUUAAUGGUUAUAAAUCUUUGGAUUGUUGUUAUAGCUAUAUUUUAUUUUUGCAGGUCUGUAUGUAGCUAAAACAUGAUGGUGUAUUAUUCAGUAUUUUGUGUUCUAUUAAGGGUUUUGAUGCAGGUUUGGUCGAUAUCAAUUUUAAAGUAAUAUUAUAAAUAUCAAUUUUAAGAGGUUUGACGUAAACUAUCUUUUAUCUUGAGUCUAUUUUAGCUUAUUGGUAAUUUACUUAUUUUCUAGUUAAAUUUUCAGAUGUUCUUAAAUUUGGAUAUGCUAUAUAAGCGCCGAAAACCUAACUAAAUUACUUCAAAACGGAGAUGGAAUAAUGAGGGACCCUCUGUGAGUAUAUUUAUUUAUUAAAAUGUAUACAGAACAGUAAUUUUUUUUUGAUGGUACUAAUAAAAAUAUGUUGAAUAGAAGGCUGGGCUGUACAUGACCAGUAGAGCUGACAAAGCUAGCUAAAGAAGUGCUAGUCUACAGAUCAAGCAUGAUCGAUUUAGUUUCUUCUCUACCAUUUUAGUUUUAAGUUGUUGAUAUAAUAUAAUACAUUUUGACCAAUCCUAAUAUAGUAUAGAGUUUAUAGUAUAGUUUAUAUUAAAAAAGUUAUAACAUUUAAAACAUUUAAGCUAGUCGACAUUAAGAUUUUUGAUAAAUAUGAUGCCAUAUUUUUAAUUUCAAAGUAAUAUUACUAUCAUCACAUGAUUAAAAAAUGAUUUAAAAAAUUUUCAAAUUGUCUUACGGAAAAGUACUCGGCAAGCUACUAAGCUGCCUCAAAAUAUUUACUUCUUAUGGCCACUAUGGUGAUGCGUCACCCAUGGGUGGCUGAACAAAAACUGCCUAAAAAAAGAAAAAACAAUGCCUAAACAGUUAUACAAAAAUUAAAAUAAACACAUAUUUUUUAGAAUUAUUUGUAAUAUAUAUUUUGAUUUUAAUUGUUGUUAAAUUAAAGUUUAUAUGUUAUUUAUAUAGUUUUU